rnacentral:rRNA from 1 species
GAUGAACGCUAGCGGCAGGCUUAAUACAUGCAAGUCGAGGGGCAGCAUGAAUGUAGCAAUACAUUUGAUGGCGACCGGCAAACGGGUGCGGAACACGUACACAACCUUCCUAUAAGUGGGGAAUAGCCCAGAGAAAUUUGGAUUAAUACCCCGUAACAUAAUGAUGUGGCAUCACAUUAUUAUUAUAGCUACGGCGCUUGUUGAUGGGUGUGCGGCUGAUUAGAUAGUUGGCGGGGUAACGGCCCACCAAGUCUACGAUCAGUAGCUGAUGUGAGAGCAUGAUCAGCCACACGGGCACUGAGACACGGGCCCGACUCCUACGGGAGGCAGCAGUAAGGAAUAUUGGUCAAUGGACGCAAGUCUGAACCAGCCAUGCCGCGUGAAGGAUUAAGGUCCUCUGGAUUGUAAACUUCUUUUAUCUGGGACGAAAAAAGGCUAUUCUUAGUCACUUGACGGUACCAGAUGAAUAAGCACCGGCUAACUCCGUGCCAGCCGCCGCGGUAAGAC